rnacentral:rRNA from 1 species
GNGAGUGGAAAGUUCACACAGUGACGGUAGCUUNCCAGAAAGGGACGGCUAACUACGUGCCAGCAGCCGCGGUAAUACGUAGGUCCCGAGCGUNGUCCGGAUUUAUUGGGCGUAAAGGGAGCGCAGGCGGUCAGGAAAGUCUGGAGUAAAAGGCUAUGGCUCAACCAUAGUGUGCUCUGGAAACUNUCUGACUUGAGUGCAGAAGGGGAGAGUGGAAUUNCAUGUGUAGCGGUGAAAUGCGUAGAUAUAUGGAGGAACACCAGUGGCGAAAGCGGCUCUCUGGUCUGUCACUGACGCUGAGGCUCGAAAGCGUGGGUAGCGAACAGGAUUAGAUACCCUGGUAGUCCACGCCGUAAACGAUGAGUGCUAGGUGUUAGGCCCUUUCCGGGGCUUAGUGCCGGAGCUAACGCAAUAAGCACUCCGCCUGGGGAGUACGACCGCAAGGUUGAAACUCAAAGGAAUUGACGGGGGCCCGCACAAGCGGUGGAGCAUGUGGUUUAAUUCGAAGCAACGCGAAGAACCUUACCAGGUCUUGACAUCCCGAUGCUAUUCUUAGAGAUAGGAAGUUACUUCGGUACAUCGGAGACAGGUGGUGCAUGGUUGUCGCCAGCUCGUGUCGUGAGAUGUUGGGUUAAGUCCCGCAACGAGCGCAACCCUUAUUGUUAGUUGCCAUCAUUAAGUUGGGCACUCUAGCGAGACUGCCGGUAAUAAACCGGAGGAAGGUGGGGAUGACGUCAAAUCAUCAUGCCCCUUAUGACCUGGGCUACACACGUGCUACAAUGGUCGGUACAACGAGUUGCGAGCCGGUGACGGCAAGCUAAUCUCUGAAAGCCGAUCUCAGUUCAGAUUGGAGGCUGCAACUCGCCUCCAUGAAGUCGGAAUCGCUAGUAAUCGCGGAUCAGCACGCCGCGGUGAAUACGUUCCCGGGCCUUGUACACACCGCCCGUCACACCACGAGAGUUUGUAACACCCGAAGUCGGUGAGGUAACCUUUUAGGGNCCA